GGGAAUGUAGCUCAGCUGGUUAGAGCGUCCGCCUGAUAAGCGGGAGGUCAGAGGUUCGAGUCCUCUCAUUCCCAC
rnacentral:tRNA from 1 species